UCCUCGGUAGCUCAAUGGCAGAGCAGCCGGCUGUUAACCGGCAGGUUAUUGGUUCGAGUCCAAUCCGGGGAGC
rnacentral:tRNA from 1 species